AGGCCCAGAAAUAAUCGGUCAGGAGGAUGAUCGGUCCGAUCGGAAGUAGGACUUGUUCUCUGCUGGGGUUCUUGGAUAAUUUCCAUUGGGUGACACGCAGUGGGAUUCUGAGAAACUCUGGGGUAGCAUCUUAAGGAGUGGAGGUCUUGCUAACAUUGCUUCAAGUGGACUUCAAGAGCAAUUUCCAUUGGCUGUCCAGCACUUCCUUGCAGCAGAAAAACACCACUUUAAAGUUACAUUUCAGCUCAUUUAUUUAGCUGAUGCUGCCACACUUGGCUUUGUUUACAUUGUCUUACACUUCAUUGUAUAAGUGGCAUUCUAUCACGGAACCUUUGUGGUAAUUUCCUCUUGGUUUUUGAAACUUAAAGUGACUUGGAAAAAUGCUUUUCAAGCAAUUCCAAGUGCACCAUACAACAUUGUAAUAGUUUAGUUUCCACUUCUUAGUGUGAAAGUGUGUCAAGUGGCUUCAAGUGUCAUUUGCACUUUCACUUAGGGUCGUGUCUCACUCUUUCAUUUCUUUAUCAUCUUUCUUUACUUUUUGCUUGUUGAUAUUUGUGUUCUAAGUCUCCGUGAUAGUUAGGUGCGCUACCAUAUAGACAAACCUUCGUUUGGUUUAUUAGGAGCAUCACAUUGUUGCAUUCCAAAAAGAUUUUGAAAGACUUCUAUCUAGAUAUUUUGGUAAGAAAUGUCAGGAGACACUCUGGCUAAGGAAGGACAAGGUUUCUAAGCUUGUCCAUUGUGACCCACCUCUCCUUCUUGGGAGCUAUUCGGUUUCUUUACCUUUAGCAUCUCUAUAGAAGUCAUUAACCAUAUACAAACAAAUCCUCUUUUCCAAAAGUUUUGAUUCAUACUUGUGCAAGGCUUUCAAAUUUUAUGAAAACACUUUCUCUACUUCACAAGCAUGAGUCACUCUAGUGUUCAAGGUAACACCAAUCAUGAUCAUGACAACAUAGAGUUGAGAGAAGAGCUCAAUAGAACCAAGGCUGAGUUACAUGAACUAAGGCAAAUGGUCACCAAUCUUAUUCUCAUUCAAAGAGGGCAUUCACAAGGGGAUCACUCUCAUAGGCAAAACCAUGAUCAUGAUGAUCAUUCCCAACAUAGUGAUCACCAUAGUUAUCACCCUUAUGAUCACUAUCAACGCCCUCCUAGGCGUCAUCAUAACCAUCGAGACCAUCCUGUGGAACCUAAACUUGACCUUCCACCCUUCUUUGGACGAGACAAUGUAGAAGAAUACUUUGAGUGGGAGAUGAAGGUCGAACAGAUUUUUGAGUGCUACCACAUAGAUGAUAGGAGGCGAGUGACCUUAGCUACUUUGACCUUUCACGGAGCAGCCCUCUAUUGGUGGACAUCCAUCAUAAGAGAUCAAAAGAUGCAUGGCGACUACACCAUCCAAUACUGGAAUGAAUUGAAAGCAGCCUUACACAGAAGGCAUGUCCCAGCCUAUUAUGCUAGAGAAGUCAUGGACAAGCUCCAUCGGCUUCAACAAAGAAACAUGAGUGUUGAGGAAUACCGGCAAAAGUUAGAAUUACUCAUGUUAAGAGCUGGGAUAAAAGAGGAAGAGAGAUUCACCAUAGCUAGGUUCCAAAGCGGUCUUAACUAUGAGAUAAGAGAAAAGGUAGAACUUUUACCUUAUUUAGCUCUCAAUGAUUUUGUGCAGCUAUGUGUGAGAGUGGAAGAACAAAUUAGAAGAAAAGCUUCCACUAAAAGGAAUUACCCUACCACCUCCGAGUAUAGGAAAUAUAUUAAGAGGGAGGGUAGUCCAAGGAGGUAUGAAAAACCUCAAGAAAAAGAAAAAGAAAAAGAAAAAGAAAAAGUGAGAGGUAAAGAAAAAGAGAGAGAGCGAGAAAGAAAUACCUCUCACAAAUAAUCUUCAAGAGACACAACGGGUAGAGAGACCAAAUGCUUUAAGUGUGGAGAGAGAGAACAUUAUUCUUCUGAGUGUCCUCACAAAAGGUCUACUUAUCUCUUAGACCAUCAGAGUGAAAGUGAAGAUUCUUCUAGUGACUCAGAUACUUCUGUAUCUGAGGAAGAAGCCUUACCUUGUGAAGGUGAGUUAUUAUUGGUAAGAAGACUUCUUGGAAGUCAAUCCCAAGAACUAGAACAAUCACAAAGAGAAAAUCUAUUUAGAACAAGAUGCAAAAUCUUCGAAAACACUUGUUCAUUGAUUGUGGAUAGUGGUUCCUCUUGUAAUUGUUGUAGUUCUCGAGUGGUGAACAAAUUAGCCUUACCUACUAUUUCUCAUCCCAAGCCUUAUAAGCUCUUCAGUGGAUAACAGAGCAUGAAGAAAUAGUAGUCAACACACAGGUAACCAUACCAAUAUCCAUUGGCAACUAUGAAGAAAACGUUUUAUGUGAUGUUGUUCCAAUGGAUGCUGGGCAUGUAUUACUUGGUAGGCCAUGGCAAUUUGAUCAUAAUUCCACUCAUGAUGGCUAUACCAACAAAAUAACUUUCUUCCAUAAAGGCAAUAAAAUCACAUUGAUUCCUCUUACACCUGAACAAGUGAAAGAGGAUGAGAUAAUAAUCAAAGAAAAAAUUGAAAAAGAAAGAAAACAAGAAAAUAGGUUGGCCAAGAAACCUUCUCAAGAAAAGAAGAAGGACACAAAGAUAUAUCUUUGACCCAGGUGGACAAUAAACACCAAAGUUGUGCUUCUUCUUUUUUCCCGAUUUGAGGACAAAUCAUUUUUAAGAGGGAGGGAAUGAUGGCAAUCCCUUUAGGGACUUCCCAUCCAAAGAAGUAUCAAUUUAACACUAAGACUAAGAAAGGGAAGUUGAAUAAGGACUUGAUCUUUUCUUUCUAAGUCUUAGAAUGUUCUCUUUAACUAAAUACAUUUACCUUGUUUUAUAGGUCACUAAUAAGAGUGGAAAACCAUAGCCAAUUAACCAAAGAAGCUUGGUGAGCUAAGGGAAGCAAAGGAGGUAAAGAAAGGAAGAAAGGAAGAGCUUUUUGAAUUGGAAAAGCAAAGCUCAUAUACAACAUACGGCCAACCAAGCAAACCAACGUUUCCACUUUCUUUUAAAGCAUGUUUUCAAUGUUUACCGUAUGGAACAUAUGGCCAGCUGUAUAGCUUCUCUUGCACACUUCUUAUAGAGCUUCAUGUACAUUUCUAAUAUGUCCAAUAGCUUGCUAGGCACGUUUCUCUUCAUCUAUAAAAGAGAAGCCAAAUCCUUUGUAAUGGUAACUUGAAUUGAAGUAAAGAAAUGCUGCCAAUUUCCAGCUAUUACUCUCAAGUUCACCUCUGUUCUUUGUUAUCUAGCACCUCCUCUAGCUUCUUUCCCCUUUGGAAAGCCUACUGAGUUAGAGAUCUACCAAAACAUCCAUUCAAACACCACCAGACAAUUUCACAAACACCUUGAGUGUGCUCCGAACCUCCACUGUUUCCUUUCAUCCGCUGCCAAUUCUCUGAGUUGUGGAGCUUCUUCUGCACAUCCUGGAGUAGCGUCCAUCACCUUCCUUUGAUUGUGCCACUUCAAUACCAAGGAAAUAUUUUAG